rnacentral:rRNA from 1 species
UACAGAGGUCUCAAGCGUUGUUCGGAUUCAUUGGGCGUAAAGGGUGUGUAGGCGGCGAAGCAAGUCGGCUGUGAAAUCCCGGGGCUCAACCCCGGAACUGCAUUCGAUACUGCUUCGCUAGAGCGCUGGAAAGGAGACUGGAAUUUACGGUGUAGCAGUGAAAUGCGUAGAUAUCGUAAGGAAGACCGGUUGCGAAAGCGAGUCUCUGGACAGCUGCUGACGCUGAGACACGAAGGCCAGGGGAGCAAACGGG